UAAGCUUUCAAAUUUACUGGCAUAAAGUUAUAGUUACUCUCUUAUGAUUUUUCAUCUCAGCUGGGCAUGGUGGCUCACGCCUGUAAUCCCAGCACUUUGGGAGGCAAAGGUGGGCAGAUCACCUGAGGUCAGGAGUUCGAGACCAGCCUGGCCAACAUCGUGAAACCCCAUCUCUACUAAAAAUACAAAAAUUAGCAGGGCAUGGUGGUGGGUGCCUGUAAUCCCAUCUACUUGGGAGGCUGAGGCAGGAGAAUCGCUUGAA
rnacentral:lncRNA from 1 species